rnacentral:lncRNA from 1 species
UGUUGGUACAGAAGUGUCAGCCAUGACCCUUUAUGAUGAAGAAAGUCUCACACCUGUCUACCCUGUGAUCACAAAUCUCCAUUGUCCAUUUGAUGGGACUUAGAAUCACAUGAUACUAAAAGUCUGCCUGUGCCUACGAGGGAGCUUCUGGACUAGGUUAAUUGAAGUGGGAAGACCGGCUCUAACUGAGGGCACCAUCCUCCCAUGGGCCUGGCUCUGAAUGAAUAUGACGGAGAACAGGACAUGAGGACCAAUGUCCAGCUGUCUGUGUUUCCUGGCUGAAGAUGCAAUGUCACCAGCUGCCUCUGGCCCCUGCCUCUCUUCUCUGCCUUGAUGAACUAUUUUAGAGGAUUCCCGGACUUAUUCUUUUAAUAACACAAGUAAGCAAACUUAGACCAAAUCUGCAAUAUGGUUCACUUAUCCAAGUACAAAGGUCAGAAUUCAUACUAACAUGUAAAAAGCAAGUCUUCGUUGGAGGACCUGAGGAAAAAAAUGGAUAUUAUCACAACUGAAUUUAGUUGUCAAGAACAAACCAGAAAAUAAAACGAAAGCACUCAC